rnacentral:lncRNA from 1 species
UGUAAAGAAAGUUUCCACUGUGACGUUAAUUAACAAGCCUUGUAUUUUCUCUGCGGAGGCGUCAGCAAUGGGGUCAGGGACGAAUACCUCUGCUCCACUGCAGUCAAGGGUCUGAAAAUAUUGACUGUUAAAAUCCUCUGCUCUUAAACUGGAUGGGCUGCUGGUGUUAGUUUAGUUGCUGGUGUUAGUUUAACUGCUGGUGGUGUUAGUUUAGCUGGUGGUGUUAGUUUAGCUGGUGGUGGUGUUAGUUUAGCUGGUGGUGGUGUUAGUUUAGCUGGUGGUGGUGUUAGUUUAGCUGGUGGUGGUGUUAGUUUAGCUGGUGGUGUUAGUUUAACUGGUGGUGGUGUUAGUUUAGCUGGUGGUGGUGUUAGUUUAGCUGGUGGUGGUGUUAGUUUAACUGGUGGUGGUGUUAGUUUAACUGGUGGUGGUUUUAGUUCAGCUGAUGGUGUUAGUUUAGCUGGUGGUGUUAGUUUAACUGGUGGUGGUGUUAGUUUAGCUGGUGGUGGUGUUAGUUUAGCUGGUGGUGGUGUUAGUUUAACUGGUGGUGGUGUUAGUUUAACUGGUGGUGGUGUUAGUUUAGCUGGUGGUGGUGUUAGUUUAACUGGUGGUGGUGUUAGUUUAGCUGGUGGUGGUGUUAGUUUAGCUGGUGGUGGUGUUAGUUUAACUGGUGGUGGUGUUAGUUUAACUGGUGGUGGUGUUAGUUUAACUGGUGAUGGUGUUAGUUUAACUGGUGGUGGUUUUAGUUUAACUGGUGGUGGUGUUAGUUUAGCUGGUGGUGGUGUUAGUUUAGCUGGUGGUGGUGUUAGUUUAGCUGAUGGUGUUAGUUUAGCUGGUGGUGUUAGUUUAGCUGGUGUUGUUAGUUUAGCUGGUGGUGUUAGUUUAACUGGUGGUGGUUUUAGUUCAGCUGAUGGUGUUAGUUUAGCUGGUGGUGUUAGUUUAGCUGGUGUUGUUAGUUUAGCUGGUGGUGUUAGUUUAGCAGGUGGUGGUGUUAGUUUAGCUGGUGGUGUUAGUUUAACUGAUGGUGGUGUUUGUUUAACUGAUGGUGGUGUUAGUUUAACUGGUGGUGGUGUUAGUUUAGCUGGUGGUGGUGUUAGUUUAGCUGGUGGUGGUGUUAGUUUAGCUGGUGGUGGUGUUAGUUUAGCUGGUGGUGGUGUUAGUUUAACUGGUGGUGGUGUUAGUUUAGCUGGUGGUGGUGUUAGUUUAACUGGUGGUGGUGUUAGUUUAGCUGGUGGUGGUGUUAGUUUAGCUGGUGGUGUUAGUUUAGCUGGUGGUGUUAGUUUAGCUGGUGGUGUUAGUUUAGCUGGUGGUGUUAGUUUAACUGGUGGUGGUGUUAGUUUAGCUGGUGGUGUUAGUUUAGCUGGUGGUGUUAGUUUAGCUGGUGGUGUUAGUUUAACUGGUGUUAGUUUAGCUGGUGGUGGUGUUAAUUUAACUGGUGUUGGUGUUAGUUUAGCUGUUGGUGGUGUUAGUUUAGCUGGUGGUGGUGGUAGUUUAGCUGGUGGUGUUAGUAUAGCUGGUGGUGGUGUUAGUUUAACUGGUGGUGGUGUUAGUUUAGCUGGUGGUGGUGUUAGUUUAGCUGGUGGUGUUAGUUUAGCUGGUGGUGGUGUUAGUUUAGCUGGUGGUGGUGUUAGUUUAACUGGUGGUGGUGUUAGUUUAACUGGUGGUGGUUUUAGUCAGCUGAUGGUGUUAGUUUAGCUGGUGGUGGUGGUGUUAGUUUAACUGGUGGUGGUGUUAGUUUAGCUGGUGGUGUUAUUAGUUUAGCUGGUGGUGUUAUUAGUUUAACUGGUGGUGGUGUUAGUUUAGCUGGUGGUGUUAGUUUAACUGGUGUUAGUUUAGCUGGUGGUGGUGUUAGUUUAGCUGGUGGUGGUGUUAGUUUAACUGCUGGUGGUGUUAGUUUAACUGGUGGUGGUGUUAGUUUAGCUGGUGGUGUUAGUUUUGCUGGUGGUGUUAGUUUAACUGGUGUUAGUUUAGCUGGUGGUGGUGUUAAUUUAACUGGUGUUGGUGUUAGUUUAGCUGUUGGUGGUGUUAGUUUAGCUGGUGGUGGUGGUAGUUUAGCUGGUGGUGUUAGUAUAGCUGGUGGUGGUGUUAGUUUAACUGGUGGUGGUGUUAGUUUAGCUGGUGGUGGUGUUAGUUUAGCUGGUGGUGUUAGUUUAGCUGGUGGUGGUGUUAGUUUAGCUGGUGGUGGUGUUAGUUUAACUGGUGGUGGUGUUAGUUUAACUGGUGGUGGUGUUAGUUUAACUGGUGGUGGUGUUAGUUUAACUGGUGGUGGUGUUAGUUUAACUGGUGGUGGUGUUAGUUUAGCUGGUGGUGUUAUUAGUUUAGCUGGUGGUGUUAUUAGUUUAACUGGUGGUGGUGUUAGUUUAGCUGGUGGUGCAGUUUGUUUAGCUGGUGGUGCAGUUUGUUUAGCUGGUGGUGUUAGUUUAGCUGGUGGUGUUAUUCAUUUAGCUGUUGUUAGUUUAGUAGUGGUCUACAUACAGUAAUGGGUGCCCAGUAGGCUGGUCAAAGUAGCUGGUGGUGUUAGUUUAACUGGUGGUGUUAGUUUAACUGGUGUUAGUUUAGCUGGUGGUGGUGUUAGUUCAGCUGGUGGUGGUGUUAGUUUAACUGGUGGUGGUGUUAGUUUAUCUGGUGGUGGUGUUAGUUUAGCUGCUGGUGGUGUUAGUUUAGCUGGUGGUGUUAUUAGUUUAGCUGGUGGUGUUAGUUUAACUGGUGGUGCAGUUUGUUUAGCUGGUGGUGCAGUUUGUUUAGCUGGUGGUGUUAGUUUAGCUGGUGGUGUUAGUUUAGCUGGUGGUGUUAGUUUAGCUGGUGGUGUUAGAUUAACUGGUGGUGGUGUUAGUUUAACUGGUGGUGGUGUUAGUUUAACUGGUGGUGUUAGUUUAGCUGGUGGUGUUAUUAGUUUAGCUGGUGGUGUUAGUUUAACUGCUGGUGGUGUUAGUUUAGCUGGUGGUGGUGUUUGUUUAGCUGGUGGCGGUGUUAGUUUAGCUGGUGGUGGUGUUAGUUUAGCUGGUGGUGUUAGUUUAGCUGGUGGUGGUGUUAGUUUAGCUGGUGGUUGUGUUAGUUUAGCUGGUGGUGUUAGUUUAGCUGGUGGUGGUGUUAGUUUAGCAGGUGGUUGUGUUAGUUUAGCUGGUGGUGGUGUUAGUUUAACUGGUGGUGUUAGUUUAGCUGGUGGUGGUGUUAGUUUAACUGCUGGUGGUGUUAGUUUAACUGGUGGUGGUGUUAGUUUAGCUGGUGGUGGUGUUAGUUUAGCUGGUGGUGUUAGUUUAGCUGGUGGUGGUGUUAGUUUAGCUGGUGGUGGUGUUAGUUUAACUGGUGGUGCAGUUUGUUUAGCUGGUGGUGCAGUUUGUUUAGCUGGUGGUGUUAGUUUAGCUGGUGGUGUUAUUAGUUUAGCUGGUG